AGAAUCAUUCGGCACAGAACCUAAGCAAGAAGGACUUACAGCUCUCUGGUGUUUCAAAUCAUUUCAAGAGUCAUCAGGAUAGAAGACUGGCAACAAAUGUGGCUGUCUUUACGGGAGCACCAUCUGAACGCAGAAGUGCAGAAUUGCCUAGUUCUUCCUAGACUGGAAGCCACACAGGCAGUGAAGAUUUAGGGUUAUCCUUGCUGUGAUGAAACACCAUGACCAGAGAAACUUGGAGAAGAAAGGAUUUAUUCAGCUUGGGUCCACAUCACUGUUCAUCACUGAAAGAAGUCAGGACAAGAACUCAAAAAGAGCAGGAAGCUGGAGAUGUGUCUGCUACAAAGCUGUGACUCCUACGAAGGGCUGGAACUGACCCAUCUCUGUAUCCUCAGAGUACAGGAGAAGCUGAGACUCUUUAUACCAGAUGGUGCAAGACACAGCAUCUUCAAUUGUGGGCAAUACAAAUUAAGCACGUGUUGGCCAAUGAAAGCCUGAUAAGGGGUUUAAAAUCCGUCUUACAUGAAAACAGAUCCAGAAGUGUUUUUCUUGAAGUGAACACUUCUGAGAAUGCACUUGCUGAUUUUGCAGACUGUUUCUGGGCAUCUUCUCUGUGCAAGGCCUGGGCUGGGGAAAAGGAAGCCAUAGGUACAGGCCUACCAUCCCGGCAGCAGAGCUCAUGGUCUGGAUGGUGUUGGACACACAAAUAAGGAUCUAUGACUCAGUGCACUCAGGUCCCCCAGGAGGCAUGAGGGUGUGCCCAGGGAAGGCUCCGAGAAGACGUUGCAGAAGAGCACAGUUGUGACAAUGUUGAAAACAAGUAUCUUUUUUAAAAGACUUAUUGUUUUUUUAGUGUAUGUAUUGGCUGGAUAUGGUGGCUUACAACUUUAAUCCCAGCAAUCAGGUGACAGAGGCAGGCCAAUUUUGUGGGUAAGAGUCCAGCCUGGUCUACAUAGCAAGCUCCAAUGCAUCCAAGGCUACAUAAUGUGACUCUGUCUCAAAACAACAACAGUAAUAAUAAAAAUGUAUGAAUA
rnacentral:lncRNA from 1 species